GGCGGAUGUAGCCAAGUGGAUCAAGGCAGUGGAUUUGUGAAUCCCCAGCC
rnacentral:tRNA from 1 species